CCCGGGGCCGGGGCGGCGCCGCUGGGGCGGGGGGACGGACGGACGGACGGACGGACGGGGGUCCCGCCACAGCCCUGCGAAAGUUUUGGCCUCGGCAAGGUCGGUAACGGGAACAGCCGUGGUCACAGCGAGCGCACGGCUCCGGUGUCCCCAGAGGGCCGCACCUCUCACUGAUCACCAGCUGUAACACGUGGAGCAGCACCGUUCUACCGCAGGAGGGCACUCAAUGAACUGGGCCAUUACACCCUGAAGAUUCCCUGAAGGACUGUAAUUCAACAUAUUUGCUCCUUAACCACAGCCUGUUACCAGCUCUACUGAAGGACAGCUCUUGAGUACUCUGUAUACAGCCUUGGCAACUUCUGUCCCCUGAAGAUAUUCUACAGUCAUAUCAACA